GACGUAGGGGGCCAGCGUUGUUCGGAAUUACUGGGCGUAAAGAGUGUGUAGGCGGCGCUCUAAGUUCGGUGUGAAAUCUCUCGGCUUAACUGGGAGGGUGCGCCGGAAACUGGAGUGCUCGAACGUGGGAGAGGAAAGCGGAAUUCCUGGUGUAGCGGUGAAAUGCGUAGAUAUCGUAAGGAAGACCAGUGGCGAAGGCGGGUCUCUGGACAGUUCCUGACGCUGAGGCACGAAGGCCAGGGGAGCAAACGGG
rnacentral:rRNA from 1 species